UUUGUGUAUAAUAAAUUUAUUAUAAUCUCCAUUUUCAAAUCACACAUCACAUAUGUUAAGUAGACAUAAAACUGUUUUCAAAUUAGCAUUCAGUUUAUAUCAUACACUUAUUUAUAUCAGAUAUCUGUAUAAAGAUAUAAAUAAGUCUUUAUAUUAACAAGAACUAUUUAGACAAUAAAAAUAUUGUUCUGCAAUGUAACAUGAAUCAGUUCAACUUGAUAUUUCAAUCAAAAAAAGAAACUAACUGUUAGUGAUAACUGUUAGUGAACACAAAAAAUGAAAUAACCUUCAAACUUUACUAGUCUGGAGAUUUAUUAUGGCAAGCUAUUUAUUAAAAAGCAACAUCAUGAAUCCCUACUUUGGCUCUUUCACUAUAUUUGCUAUAUGAAACUGGGAAAUGGAUAUUUAAUUAUAUGUUAAAUUUCUUUUUCUUUCAUUUCAAUAGCUCAUGUGCCUAGCUAGUUCAAAUAUGCUGAAAAUUAGAAAAAAGAUCCACCACAGGAUAACUUAUAAAACACUUUCAAAAACCUGAAUGUAAAUAUUUUAAAAAUUAUGCAAAUGUUUUUCUGUAUACUUUUGUCAGGAAGAAGUCUUUGGCCAGCAAAAUUAAAAGGGAGACCUAAAGACAAUUACAAGUUACAAAACUUUGCACUCUCAUUAUUUUUCUGAUUGUAAAAUUCCUAACGACUGAGGUUUGAUGAGGAAUAUAAAAAAAAAAUCUGAUAGUUGGUAAAUAAUUGCUCAUACUGUAGGGUAUUUGUUGCAACAAAUAGGUCCAGGAAUAUACACACAAAUGUAUUAACACUAGUUAGUUGAUUAUGUUAAGAUAGUGUUUCUAUUAGAGAUAAUAUGAUUAAAUAAAUAUGGUACAGAAAACAUUCAUUGCACAGAAACAAAAAAAUUUGAGAACAAUGAAUGUGAUUGUAGAAGUUAUUUUGUGAUGACUCCCAGUAUUUUGUCUAAUAUAGUCUACUAUUGAUAUUAAUACUAAAUAAUAAACUUACACAUCCUGUAAAGUAGGAAUCUAUUUGUCAACUAAGAAGUACACACAUUUGCUUACAUUAUUUUGUUACACCACAAAGAUAGGAACAUUAGGAAU